AUUGAACGCUGGCGGCAGGCCUAACACAUGCAAGUCGAGCGGAUGAAGGGAGCUUGCUCCUGGAUUCAGCGGCGGACGGGUGAGUAAUGCCUAGGAAUCUGCCUGGUAGUGGGGGAUAACGUCCGGAAACGGGCGCUAAUACCGCAUAAGUCCUGAGGGAGAAAGAGGGGGAUCUUCGGACCACACGCUAUCAGAUGAGCCUAGGUCGGGUUAGCUAGUUGGUGGGGUAAAGGCCUACCAAGGCGACGAUCCGUAACUGGUCUGAGAGGAUGAUCAGUCACACUGGAACUGAGACACGGUCCAGACUCCUACGGGAGGCAGCAGUGGGGAAUAUUGGACAAUGGGCGAAAGCCUGAUCCAGCCAUGCCGCGUGUGUGAAGAAGGUCUUCGGAUUGUAAAGCACUUUAAGUUGGGAGGAAGGGCAGUAAGUUAAUACCUUGCUGUUUUGACGUUACCAACAGAAUAAGCACCGGCUAACUUCGUG
rnacentral:rRNA from 1 species